GUGAAGCGGCAACAGCUCAAAUUUGAAAUCUGGCCGUUCGGCGGUCCGAGUUGUAAUUUGUAGAGGAUGCUUCGGGUGCGGCGCCGGUCUAAGUUCCUUGGAACAGGACGUCAGAGAGGGUGAGAAUCCCGUAUGUGACCGGUGACCCAGCCCGUGUGAAGCUCCUUCGACGAGUCGAGUUGUUUGGGAAUGCAGCUCUAAAUGGGUGGUAAAUUUCAUCUAAAGCUAAAUACCGGCCAGAGACCGAUAGCGCACAAGUAGAGUGAUCGAAAGAUGAAAAGCACUUUGGAAAGAGAGUUAAAAAGUACGUGAAAUUGUUGAAAGGGAAGCGCUUGUGACCAGACUUGCUCGCGGGCGAUCAGCCGUCCUUCUGGGCGGUGCACUCGCCCGUGAUCAGGCCAGCAUCGGUUCGGGCGGCCGGAUAACGGCCCCGGGAAUGUGGCUCCCCUCGGGGAGUGUUAUAGCCCGGGGCGCAAUGCGGCCCGCCGGGACCGAGGACCGCGCUUCGGCUAGGAUGCUGGCGUAAUGGUCGUAAGCGACCCGUCUUGAAACACGGACCAAGGAGUCUAACAUCUGUGCGAGUGUUUGGGUGUCAAACCCAUGCGCGGAAUGAAAGUGAACGGAGGUGGGAACCCUUCAGGGUGCACCAUCGACCGAUCCUGAUGUCUUCGGAUGGAUUUGAGUAAGAGCAUAGCUGUUGGGACCCGAAAGAUGGUGAACUAUGCCUGAAUAGGGUGAAGCCAGAGGAAACUCUGGUGGAGGCUCGCAGCGGUUCUGACGUGCAAAUCGAUCGUCAAAUUUGGGUAUAGGGGCGAAAGACUAAUCGAACCAUCUAGUAGCUGGUUCCUGCC
rnacentral:rRNA from 1 species